rfam:Schistosoma curassoni strain Dakar, Senegal genome assembly, scaffold: SCTD_scaffold0007070
AGCUUUUCGAAUCUGUGCUGAGAUUUUAUCAGACACCAACCUAUUAUGGCUUAUCAAACUUCCAAGAUAAGUGAAGUU